GCUCCGUGCCCCCCCCCUACCGUUGAAGCGCUGUCUUGCUGCAACACAUCAACCACACGCAUCGAUUUUAACGCUAGAGAACGUGGUUCAUCAGCAGACCGCUGUCUCCUCCGCCUCCUCCUCCCACCCCACCCCACCCCACCCUCUCCACGUCGUGUGCCGUGUGUUCUCACAUCGCUUCUGCCGCCGUCGUUGCUGUCGCUGCCGUUGGCUCUUUGUUGCCGACCUCUCCCCGGUUAUCGCCGCCUUUGCGGGGCGGCGGCGGCGGGCGGGCGGAAGAGAGACGAAGGCCCAAGCGUAUGCAUCAUCGGCGGCUUGCGCGCCCGCCCUUUGUGCUUGGCAGAGAUUCCCGUGUGCGCUUGUGCAUGAUGUUGCGUCGCGCGCUCCCAUGUUGCGCCGCCGCGCCUCUUCGAUACGCUGCCUCCACACUGUGUUUCCCUCGCUCAAGACGUGGUGUGGGCCCAGCCUUCAGCAGCAGCAACCGUCUCUCGCACAUGACGCGGGCGUACGCCACCACGACCCCGCCGCCGGCAGGCAAUCACGAUGGCGCGGCUGACGAGGAUGCGCACAUGACGGAUGACGGCGAUGUUGACGCUGCCGCCGCCGAUCGCCACCACGCUCCGACGCUUCGCAGCGCCCUGCCGCCGAGCGCCGCGGAGCUGCCGGAGGAGUCGUUCCUUAAAUGCAUCGACAAGGAAAUCUUCGACGAGAAGGUGCGGCUGGACAAAGAGGAUGGCCCGCCGCCAGUGCCGACGGGGUGGACGAUGCAUCACACGGAGGGCACCAGCUUCAUCUACGGACGUCGGCUGUGGAUGCCGCCGCCGCCAUCAUCCUCCUCCUCGUCGCCAAGCACGUGGAGUGGAGAGGCCGAGGCGCGGCGCGGCGAUGCCGGAGACAGCUCUACCCAAGAGAGCAGAGGAAAGCAGCAGCGGCAGGAGCGGGAGGUGAAGCCGACCCCGUGGGCCAUGGAGCGGCACUUCUUGCGCAUCCAGCUUACCUCCCGUGAUGCCUCGCUCGACCCUGAGUGCGACGUGCGCGGCGAACACUUCCCUUUCUCCUUCUUUGUUCAACGCGUUCUCCCUGAAGAAGGCGAGGAGGGGAGCGGUGCGGGGGUGACGGGCCGCAGCAGUGGCGAGCAGGGCGCCGCCGCCAACAGUCAGGACGCUCUCCACGGGGAUUCGUUCGAGGAGCACACUUUCUACCACAACAGCAUCGAGGCUCGCUGCGACGUCGUUGAUGGGGAGCUGAUUGUCGACGGCUUGGUCUACCACGGCCCUCCUCCUCCCACGUCCCACCCGCCGUCCUCGUCCGGUGCCCCACAGCCGCGGUACACGAACCCGUUCGGCGGCUACCCGGGGCCAAACCUGGAUGAGGUGGAAGAGGAGGUCCUCGACGGCAUUCAAAGCUGGCUGGCCGAGCGCGGCGUUGACGACCAGCUCGGCGAAUUUGUUGGGCAGUACUCUAUAUGGGUGGAGCAGGCGGAGUACGAGCGGUGGCUGCAGCAGCUGCGUGACUACGUGGCGGCCUGAAAGGGAUCACGAUAAG
rnacentral:misc_RNA from 1 species